rnacentral:rRNA from 1 species
UACGUAGGUGACAAGCGUUGUCCGGAUUUACUGGGCGUAAAGAGCGCGCAGGCGGUCGUUCAAGUCGAGUGUGAAAGCCCCCGGCUCAACUGGGGAGGGUCAUUCGAUACUGAUCGACUCGAAGGCGGGAGAGGGUAGUGGAAUUCCCGGUGUAGUGGUGAAAUGCGUAGAUAUUCGCAAGAACACCAGUGGCGAAGGCGGCUCACUGGCCCGGUACUGACGCUGAGGUGCGAAAGCGUGGGGAGCAAACAGG